CUGCUGUGCACUUAUGAGAGUUUUCUCAGCUGUCAUUUAGAAAAUCCUGAGGGCGGUUUUCUCAUUCUUAGUCAUCCCUCCUCAUCACCCUCACCUUCAAAAAUACUUUGUGGGCUAUGGAUGGUGCCAGAGAAGAGUCCACACUCCUACACAGGCGGGCAAGGCUUCUCUCACUUCUGCAGCUUCGGCCUCUAUCAACACUACUUAGUGAUACAAAGACCUGCUCCAACCAAUUCAACACAUUUCCUGGUUUGGAAAUAGGACUUCACUCCUCUGAGAAUGGCCUGUGUGACGGAAUGCCUGCCCAGGUCUCUAUAAGGACUGGGCAUGCAAGAGGGAUAUAUGUGUGUCAUAUGAAAUGUGGCUGAAGUCCAGAGAAAUAGGUUUCAUUUAAUAGCUGAAUACUGGAUGACCUCCCCACUCCUCACGCCCUCUGGCAGCUCACCCCGGGAGCGAUAGACGGGCCGCCUGCGCCAGCCGAGGCGUGGCUGCCAGCCUCAAUGUGAUUUUGCAAUGAUCUGUGCUCUAUGGCUGCCUUCAUAACCAACAAAUCAAUUCCCACUGUUCGUGUUACACACCCCAGUGGCGGAGGCCAUUUGUUAUCCUUUUGAUGGUCAUACUCUUUGUCCAUAACCAAGAAAGAUUACAGGAGAAGGAGAGAAGAGUGGAAAUGUGGAUGAAGAUAUUAGGCCGUGGUACCGUGGGUCGCAGCGUGCCUUGAAUGCAUAUGAGAAUGAAAAAGCCGUUCCUCAGCUGCCGCUAACGCCACAUCUGGAGAAUUCUUCAAGCAUCUCUGUUUUGUGCUGGUGUCAGUGUUUUCCGAACUUGAGUUCGCUCAAUGGCAAAGCCAGGGCUUCUGGUACAUCAUCCUGCUGAUGGCUUCUCUCUGGUUCCUGAGGCUCUACCUGCAUUAUCUCAGCCAGUGGUUUUUCCUCCAGGCCACUUCAACUCCUGUUACAAAAUUCCGUUUUUCCCCCCUCACGGUGGAACUCUGCUACCCAGCCUCUUCCCUUCACAUCGCAGAAGAGAUGCUUGUGGUUGUGGUGGGGCCUUUCCUGCUGAACGCAGUGGUACUUCUCUUGGUUCUGGUCAGAUGGGGCUGUCAGCUACUGUUUGCCUUCUGCCCUGAUGUCCUGUCAAAGUUAAUCAUCACCAUGGGACUAUGGGCAGUUCUGGACCCACUGGCUGUAUUUAUUGUGGAUACUGUCCUGGGGCGACUCACACAGAGUGGGGAGACUCCAGUAGCUGAUGCAGCCAAACUGUACUGGAUGUUUGAAAGAACCAUGCAAUCUGGAAUUCUCGGUGUGAUGCUCACGGUGCUACUUUAUGUCCUACUGUUCAUCAUUUCGACUUUGAUUUUAUAUGUGUAUUGUCUCAGAUUGCACAAUGAUUCUUGGAUAUUAGACACAUUUCAGCGCAUCCACAGUGAAGAAAGCAAGUUCUUUAUACCAUAUGAUUUGGAGAUUUCCAAUCAGGAGCUAAGCUAUAUCAUAAAAAGAUCUGAGCAGUGGAGAGGAUUCAAUGGUGAGAGAAGGAAGGUGGCAGUGUAUGAUUAUAUCUGGAAAAAGCAUGGCGUCCAGUCCAGCAUCUCCAGCUGUGACCUCCAACAGCACAAUGAAAUUUCUGUGACGGCACUUGGUCCAGGAGGUAUUACUUCUCAUGUAGCUGUGUACACCGUUUAUCCCAGUGGGUUCCAAGAGCUAUACCGCCAUUUCCUUAGGCUCCCUAGCGGUGCCAUUGUUGAGGUAUUUGGUGAUAUCGGUGGUUUAACGAUUAUCCCCAGAGAACUGGUCACAGCUAUUCAAAAGCAUCUAAGUGAAAUAGACAGCACGCUGGGAGACUCCCCGGAUAUUAAAUCAAGAG
ensembl:lincRNA